ACGUAUGGAGCGAGCGUUGUCCGGAAUUAUUGGGCGUAAAGGGUGCGCAGGCGGCUUUACAAGUUGGAUGUGAAAUAUUGUGGCUCAACCACAAACGUGCAUCCAAAACUGCAAAGCUUGAGUUAAGGAGAGGUAAGUGGAAUUCCUGGUGUAGCGGUGGAAUGCGUAGAUAUCAGGAGGAAUACCGGUGGCGAAGGCGACUUACUGGACUUAAACUGACGCUCAGGCACGAAAGCAUGGGGAGCAAACAG
rnacentral:rRNA from 1 species